rnacentral:lncRNA from 1 species
CUUUCUCUGACUGUUAAUUACAUUGCCACUGUUCGACAUAUUUACUAAACAUUGUAGACGUAACAGUAUUGACCACUGAGGUACUAUCAACAUAUUCUGUUAUGAUACACAAAUGUUUUGCCUUCCACUCAGAAAAUGUUUUCCUUACAUAAAAAUUCCAAUUUUUUUUUUACACUUAUGUUUUUUACUCAUAAUAUCUGCCCACAUGAAAAAUUUUCUGUUUAAACGAUC